GAUGAAGAACGUAGCGAAAUGCGAUAAGUAAUGUGAAUUGCAGAAUUCAGUGAAUCAUCGAAUCUUUGAACGCACAUUGCGCCCGCCAGUAUUCUGGCGGGCAUGCCUGUUCGAGCGUCGUUACAACCCUCAGGCCCCCGGGCCUGGCGUUGGGGAUCGGCGAGGCGCCCCCCGCGGGCACGCGCCGUCCCCCAAAUACAGUGGCGGUCCCGCCGCAGCUUCCAUUGCGUAGUAGCUAACACCUCGCAACUGGAGAGCGGCGCGGCCAUGCCGUAAAACACCCAACUUCUGAAUGUUGACCUCGAAUCAGGUAGGAAUACCCGCUGAACUUAAGCAUAUCAAUAAGCGGAGGA
rnacentral:misc_RNA from 1 species